CCGAACAGCUUGAGGAGCAGAUAGCAGCGCUGUCUUGCUAAGAACAUGCAACAACAAAGCAGAGAAGGGUUUGAACACACAGAGGGCCUCGCUCUGUCUCAUCAUUCUGCUUUCCACCCCCCCCUGCACACAGGUGGAGGAGGAGGAGGAUGUGGUGGGAUGACAAAGGCUGCAGCUGCCUUUUCUUCUCCGAAAGCUGGGUGAAAAUGACAUAAUGGCCAUCGAGCUCAGAAUGAGCUUCACCGAGCUCAGAUUUCCUGCUGCAAGCGGCACGCACCGGGCUG